CUCUCCACUUAACAAUGUCUAUAGGUCUCUUACUGUUUCAAUUUCUUUCUUUGCAAGUAAAGGAAAUCCGAUCCAGUAAAAAAGCUUCUCUCGAAUGGUAUGCCAUCACCGUUCCAAAAAUUUAAAGCAUUUAACCUCAGUUUGACUGCAUUGGAGGUGCAAGUUUCGGACACGGAAAAGGAAGAAAAUCACACACUGGUUUAUCUUUUUGUUUCACCCGAGGUACAUCCCAUGUGAGGCAAAAAACUGAAGAUUUGGGUGGCCUAGAGACAUUGUAUUUAGGGAGCCUGAUUCGAGAGCUGGCAGCUGGGGUUCAGUAUGUAUUUAGGUGCAAGCUCAGUCAUAAAUCCUGAACUCUGGAGCAUGGUUGAUGGUCUGUAAUAAAUGUGGGAUCGUGGUUAAUGACAAUUGAUCUGACUGACAGUCUUCACGUGAAAUUGAAGACUGAACCUAGGAGAAAAAUAAAAGGGAUAUUUACUCAUCAGUUCCUAGAUACUAUUUUUUUUAAAUUAAUUCAUUUAAGUUUUUAUUUGUAUUCCAGUAAUUGCAACUAUUGUUUGUGGUGUUUUGUAUUUAAGUUUGAUUACCAAAUUAAACUUCUUAAGAAAUUGUAUUUUAAAAUAAGAUCAUGAUGAAAUGAAGUUAAUUAAUUUUUUAAAGACAAAAUUUCAGAUGUUUUGGGGGUGUCGACUAUCAAAAUUGAAUAAAAUGUAAAGUAAAAAUAGGAGAAGAGAUGUUGGUUUGAUGACAUCCGUAGAACAUUAAACAAUGUAAUUGGAAUACACUGGUUUUAAACAUUAAAAAAUAAAUCUAAAUAGGCUUAAAAACAAUGUUAUAUAAAUUUGUCCUUUUAAGGUUAAUUUUCUUCUUUUCAGAUGAAUAAAAGUCAGUAAUAAUCUCAAUCUUCUCGCGCAUUCAUGAUCAAGGCUCCAUCAUAUACUUCUUGUAAAAUUGGAAAUCAACUAUUUUAUCCCCAUCUCCAUUAUGGAUGUUUUUCACUAUUAAUCUAUCUAAAGAAAAAGAUAUAAAUUAAAAUUAAAAAAAAAACCUAAAAUCUUUUUUAGGAAUCCGCCACUGCCAACACUUUAAAUUCACCUCUGAAUAAAAUGAAUUAUUAAUAUUAAAUUAUAUGACACCAAUGAUGUGGUGAUAGAAAAUUUUAUUUAAAAUCAAGCAUCAAAGGUUAAAAUUGAAUUCAAAUAAUCUAUUUUUUUACUCCAAUAAUUAAAAUAAUUAAAUUAAAUAUCAAAAUAGAUCACCUUACAAAUUAAUUACCGAAAUGGAUCGUUAAUAAAAUUUUUCAAUACCGCUUGACUAAAAUAUAAUUAGUGAUUAUUUUUAUUAUGUUACAUAAUAGUUAUUUUAGUUUUAAGUAGUAAAAUGUGUGAUUUUAAAUUAGGUUGUUGUGGGUUCAAUUUUCACAUAUAACACUUUAUUUUUUAUUUUUGCUUCAAAAGGUAAAUUCUACUUUAUUAUUAUUUGACAAAAUAUUAUUAUUUGUGGAAAUCAAACCCUCGACCAUAAUUUUAUUGUAGCAUAAUACUUUACUAUAACAACUGUUUUAUAAUAUGAUAAAUAAAAUAAUUAAUUAUAUUGUAAUAUGGUGCCGUCAAUAUGUCAGGCGGCACCAAUAUUUUUUUUUUAAAAUCCAUGUGGUAUCGUCAACUAGUCAAACAGUAUUAAAAAAUAUUAUAGCAAAAUUUGUAGGGUGUGACCCAUUUUGAUAUUUAAUUUUUUUUAAAAAUAUUAUUAAAGUGCCACAAUUUUUAUUUACUAAAUAAAAAAGAAAGAAAGUAUAGCCACCUCCAAUUUUUUAUUUAAGUGUGAUGGCACCUUUAUUUUUUUUAAAACAAAAUUUAAAAUCAAUUAAAAUGUAUAACCAACAUUGACAAACACACAUGAUAAAUACACUAAAUAAUAAUCUAAUAAUUAUUUUAAAAAGUAAUACUUAUGCCUAUUGUUUCUAAAAAAUUAAGAAAAAAUAUAAAUAUUUUUAUUUUAAAGAUAUGUUCACUAAAAUUACUUAAAUAGUAAAAAUAUUAUAUUCUGAAAUUUUUGUUUGUUUUCUUUUUCAAAAUUCUGAGCACUUUAAUGACAUGAAAAUGACUCCCACUUCAAUCUUUCAUUUUUGGUAACAGAAAAGACUGCGGGCAGCGUUUGGUAAGGGCCAAAACUUAAAAGUAGUAUAAAAGAAAUUCACUAUUUUAAAAAAAAUGGUCUGUGAGAGAGCUGACAUAUUUGGGAGGGUUAAAAUAUGUUAUAAACCCUUUUCCCUAUAUUAGAAUCGAGUCCAACGAACGUUGGUUACCUCUUGAGCCAACUAAUAACUUCGCCAAAAACAAAUCAGACCUACCAUAAAAACAAUUGCCUAAUCAUAGAUUAGCACAAAGAAUGUCAUACUUGUGCCUUCACACAUACAUGCAUGCGUUAUGAUGUCUACGUCCAAGGCUAUUACAAGCUAAUCUUUUAGGUUGAUGCCUAAACCAUGAAACAUACAUGCAUGUGCUUUGUUUUGCUGUUGGAUGAACCAACAGCAUAUUUACGGUAGACCCAUAACCCACUUUCAUGUUCUAAAUGCAAACAAACAAAUGCAUUUAAAGCUACCAUCCAAAACAAUUCUUAUAUUAUCAUAUCAAGGGGUGUAGCCCAAGUUUAGCCAUGGCGUACAUCAACCACAUCAUAAUUCAAAGGAACCUAUAAAUAUAUCCCUAUUUCCUGGUAUCAUCCAAAUGUAAAUAGUGUAUAAUAAGAAAGCUUUGACAAUGGCUCAAUUCAAUUGCCACCAUAUCAUAUUUCAUAUCCUUUGCUUUCAUAUGGGGUUGCACAGUUCAGUCUUUAGGCUUUAUCUAUGCCAUAAAGUUUCAACUCUCUUCUUUUUUAUGCUCUCCACUUAACAAUGUCUAUAGGUCUCUUAACUGUUUCAAUUUCUUUCUUUGCAAGUAAAGGAAAUCCGAUCCAGUAAAAAAGCUUCUCUCGAAUGGUAUGCCAUCACCGUACCAAAAAUUUAAAGCAUUUAACCUCAGUUUGACUGCAUUGGAGGUGCAAGUUUCAGACACGGAAAAGGAAGAAAAUCACACACUGGUUUAUCUUUUUGUUUCACCCGAGGUACAUCCCAUGUGAGGCAAAAAACUGAAAAUCUGGGUGGUAUACCUGAAGCAGUUUUAGCCAGUUUUCCGUGGCUUGCAUAAGGGAAUUUGCAUGUUGACGCUCGCUCACACCAUUCUGUGUCCAUAUGGAUCCUUCCAUCUUGUAACACCCCAUUCCAAAAACAGGUAACGAAAUCUUUGGGAUGCCAUUAGCAUC
rnacentral:lncRNA from 1 species